AUUGAACGCUAGCGGGAUGCUUUACACAUGCAAGUCGAACGGUAGCACGAAGAAAGCUUGCUUUCUUUGGUGACGAGUGGCGAACGGGUGAGUAAUGUAUCGGAACGUACCCAGUAGCGGGGGAUAACUACGCGAAAGCGUGGCUAAUACCGCAUACGCCCUACGGGGGAAAGGGGGGGAUCGCAAGACCUCUCACUAUUGGAGCGGCCGAUAUCGGAUUAGCUAGUUGGUGGGGUAAAGGCCCACCAAGGCGACGAUCCGUAGCUGGUUUGAGAGGACGACCAGCCACACUGGGAAUGAGACACGGCCCAGACCCCUACGGGAGGCAGCAGGGGGGAAUUUUGGACAAUGGGGGCAACCCUGAUCCAGCCAUCCCGCGUGUGCGAUGAAGGCCUUCGGGUUGUAAAGCACUUUUGGCAGAGAAGAAACGACUCUGGAUAAUACCCGGGGUUAAUGACGGUAUCUGCAGAAUAAGCACCGGCUAACUACGUGCCAGCAGCCGCAGUAA
rnacentral:rRNA from 1 species